GGUGACGUCGAGAUCCCUCUCGAUCGACAAGGGUGUAAAUUCAACGAAUUUUGCACCUAAAAGAAAUUUCAUGGGAGACGCUUAUAUUCAACAAUCUGACAGCCCAAAAGGGAUUUAUUCUUCAAUCUUCCCAAAUUUGGUCGUCCCCUAUUUGUUGAAGGAGCAAUUAAAUAGAAAGGUGAGGCUUUUGGGUUUGAUUUGUGGAUUUAAAGUGUGAAGGAGAUGCAAUUGAUAUUGUUACUGUUGUGUUU
rnacentral:lncRNA from 1 species